CCACGGUGGUCCUGGAGAAGCUUCUCCCUCACACACGGGGACAGAACACCCACCGCGGACCCCGCGGCGGCCCUCGGCUCCCCGCGUGUCCCGGCGGCCGCCCACCAGGAAGCCAUGCGGCGCCGGGCCCCGCCCUCGGGCCCUGGGUGCUGUUGGGAACGCGCGUUACCAUGGAGACACGCGCCCUCGUAGGCGCGCCUCGCGGAAGCCGGGCGGCCAUUUUAAGAGCUGGCAAGAGGGGUGGAACAGGCGCUGCCAAGCAACGGUUGACCCGGUUUGACCAAGUGACUGGUUCUAGCUACAUGGUGCGCUGGCCAGCCAUGCUCCCUGUCAGCCCUGUGUUGCCGAGAAAAUCACAGCUAUGGGCAUUCUGGGCCCUGCUGCUGGUGGCCUGGCUGUCGCUGACGCCGUGGGCGGUGGACCACCACCACCGCUGCAGCUGGCUGGUGGUCCUGAACAAGUUCGAGAGGGUGGGCUCGCACUUCUCCCAGGACCGCUUCCUGGACCAGGAGCCCAUGGACACGGUGGCCAAGGUGUUUGAGAAGUUGUCGGACUCGCCAGUCGACACCCAGGAGAGAUACUUGGGCUUUCCUUACUACCUGCAGAUCAACUUCUCCUGUACGGGACAGGUGAGAAUUUACACUGUGAAGAGGAUGAUUUCUAACAGCGAGGAGCUGGCUCGAAAGGGCCACCUGAUGGGGAUGAGGCCUGUGGUCCUGAUCAGCUACAGGUACCCAGUCAAUUUCUACCGGUGGAAGAUCGAGAACCUGCAGGUGCAGAUGGAGGCUGCUCCGCUGCGCAGCACAGAGCACUGCGCAGCAGAGGCUAUGUGCGUCCUGAACUGGUACACACCCAUGCCCAUCAAGAAUGGCAGUGUGGUCAUGAGCGUGGACAUCAGCAGCAAUGGCAUAGGGCCCUUCAUUCCCCGGAAAAGGUUCUAUAUGAACAUGAAUGGCUUCUUGAAAAGAGAUGCAAACGAGAAAGUGAUCUACACCAUCGGAUACGAGAGCAUUGUUAUGAAGAGUAAUAACUUUAAGAAAUCGAAAUCAAGGCCCCUGUGGUACACGAUAAACCACGCCCCCGUGCUCAUCCUGGGAGGCAUUGAAGGGGAAAAGGCCCUUCUGAUUACAGACACUAAUUUCCAGGAUGCCUCUCUCGUGGAGCUGAGCAUUGACAGUUGCUGGGUUGGCUCCUACUACUGCCCCAUGCUUAGCUUCUCAGCCACCAUCUUUGACGCCAUUUCCACGGAGAGCACGCUCUUCAUUCGGCAGAACCAGCUCGUCUACUAUUUCACAGGCCGCUACUCCACCCUCUUCGACACCAGCCACAGCAGCAGCAGGUGGGUGCGUGUCCUUCCUACCGAGUGCAUCAAGAAACUGUGCCCAGUGUUUGUCAAUGGCAAUGGCUCGGAGUACGUGCUGGCCCUCAACACUGGCAUCCACGAGGGUUACAUUCACAUUGGGACCAUCACGGAUGGUCUCGUGUCCUUCCAGAUGGUGCCCACUGGCUGGUCAGUCUGUGAUAUGUUAUCAGGUACAAACUGCACCAUUGACUGGGCCACGUACAUUGCCGAUGAGAAGAACUUGCUGCUGCUGCUGGAGAUCCUGAAUGAGAACUUGGAUAAGGUCUUCUACCUGCUCAGCUUUAAUCUAGACACGGAGGCGCUGGAUAUCCUCUACAUCCUGCCACAGUAUGUUCCACAAGCUAGUGGCGACUUCUUGGUGCUCCUUGGGACGGAGACCUACACCAACACUCUUAUGAUCCCUGAGGGCUUGUUCUUCAACACAUUCAACAAUAUACUGUACAUCUGGGGAAACUUCAUCCUGCAAAGGUGUCUCCUAAGGCCAGAAGAGGGUACUAGAAACCCUGGAGCCGGAGUUCUAUGGUGCUGGCUGGGAAUCUAUCUCUAUAAUAGGGUGCACUUCAUCUAUCUGGCGGACUUCCCCAAGGAGUACACCAUCAAAUACAUGGUCAACUCUUACCACGGAGAGAUGGUGUUUGUCACAGAUAAAGAGGAGAUCUGGUACUUUCUGGAGGGUGGCUAUGAUGUGUACCGUCUGGUCCCAUCCAGUGGCUGGAACACUUAUGUUUUCCUGCACAAGAUGGAACACUCUUCCCUCUUUGGGGACCGAGAGUAUUUGGUCAGCGUCUUCUAUGAGGAUGGGCAGCUCUACCAGCUGAUCUAUCUUACCAAGGCUGGCCGUAGUCGUUUGGUCAAGAGGCCUUUGCAAGUGGCAAAGUUGCUGCUGUAUCAAAAUCGCAGACCCCAGACAUUUGAGAUGCAAGGGAAGUACAAGAAGCUGUCCUUCACCAACCUCUGCCCUUUCAAGGUGAUGCGUCUCCGUGACCUACCUGAAAAACAGCACUUUGCACGCCAGGAGCUCUACCAUGCUCCACCACCUCUGGUCUCUCAGACGUUGGGCUUCCACAACAACAAGACACUCGCUGUCUACCAAGGCCUUGUCUAUUACCUGCUAUGGCUGCAUUCCAAGUAUGACAAGCCCUACGCAGACCCUGUGCACGAUCCCACCUGGCGCUGGUGGCAGCACAAGAAACAGUACAAGGAUUACUACUUUUACCUGUCCAGCAACUGGCUGGCAGCGGAAGGCGUGUACAUCGACAUGAGCAGCUACCAAAAGCUCUACAACAUCUCGAACGACCACGGCUUGCCCGAAAUUGUCUUCCUGGACAAGGGCACCUCGUUUAGCUUCACUGUCUUCCUGUCGUCACAAGAGGACACCUUAAUGUCCGCAGCCACCCUCGGCACUACCUUCCAGGUGGAGAAGAAGCUGGCAGUGGCCGUGGUUGUGGCAGAUCCUGAUUGCCUUAAGGCAACUGUGAAACAGGAGGUCCUUCUUAAUCGCAAAGCAGUGCUCUAUAAGAUUAAAAUUGAGGACAGAAAGGUCUGCUAUGAUCAGGGCCUCAGUGGACACAACCUCAAGAAGACUUCCAUGAUGAUCAAAGUGUUGGGCUCUGCUGGAAAAUGUUUCCAGACCACAUUCCUUGGGACAAGCAUGCAAGGUAACCUGAUGGUGCCAGUGUUAAUCGGCUGUCCCCCUGGCAAGCGCCUGGCCUUCGAUGUCACCUACACGAUUCUGCACUCCCGGGAGAUAAACAAACACUAUUUUGACUGUGUGAAGUCGAACCCGGAGAUGCCCUGCUUUCUCUUCCGUGACUUGUUCCAGCCCUUCUUCUUAGUCCAAGACAUGGUGACGGGAGACUCUGGCAGUUUCCUGGGCAGCUACCUGCUGAAGGUGGUGGGCGGUGGCCACACACUUGACACCAUCAGAGACUACACGGAAGAAGAAAUCUUCCGUUAUAACAGCCCGCUGGACAACUCAGAAAGCCUCAUCUGGAAAACCAAGGUCGAAAGGACCACCCGGGAUAAGAAGUUCUACAUCAUGUCCUAUCUGAGCCCUGGAAUCGAGUUUAUGGGGUUCUGGGUUGCCAACCCCGGAUUUGGUGCAGACCAGGCAAGCAUUCUACCAACUGAGCUACAUCCCCAGUACCCUACCCUGUUAUCGUUUUGUUCUAUGCAGCUUCUCACCAUGUAGCCCUGCCUGGUCUCCAAAUCAUGCUUGUCCUACUCUGCCUUCUGAUGUGGGGAUUAUAGAGAAGGUCUUUGUGUAAGCCCCUCCCCCCAUUCCUCUGGCUCCUUGUUCUUGCCUCUGAGGCUUUGUGAUAGUCAUAUUAACAGUACUGUGUUUCCAAAGGAGGGCUGUCCUUUGUGUAGAGAGGCUGUCCUGGAGUCCAGAAUCUCUUCCUCGGCCUUCAAGCUUUGGCUCACAUUCUCCUUCCUGCAGAAGAGCUUAGCCACACCCUUUCUUUCAAGUUGGGCAGUCUCUUCCUCUGGACUCCCACAUGCCUUUCCCACCCUGAGCCUGUGCUUGCUCCUCCUCAUCCUUCCUGACCUGCCUGCAUAUGUCCUUAUGUUUUGUCCUUCCUGACUACUCUACACUGUCUGUGUCUCCUGGAGAGCCUGUCUCCAUUAUGGCACAAUUCUCAAAUAGACACGAUAGAACAUUUUUUUGGUGGUGGCAGCUGUGCACACCUUUGAUCCCAGCAUUGGGGAGACAGAGGCAGGUGGAUCUUUGAGUUCAAGACCAGCCUUGUUUACACAGCAAGUUCCAGGACAGUCAAAGCUGCACAGGGAAAAACCCUGUCUUGGAAAAACAAAAACUUAAAGCAUGGUCAGCAUCCAUUGACAGUUAAGUGGAGAUGUUAAUGAAUAAAACUGUAGAGACGCUCACGAGUACGUAAGGGCUUGAUUGAGAACCAUCUCUGACUCAAUGAGAGGAAAACCAUGAUACCACAGGCAGCAAAUCGUGUUAGCCAGCUGCUCCUGCCACUGUGUUCAGUCCUGGUUUAUUGACUGAUGAGCAAGGGGGAAGAAGUGAGGAAAGAUGUGAGUUUGUACCUAGCUUGUGUUCAGACUAUACUUGUGUGGCACACAGUAGGUACUCAGUAACGUCUAGGUGAACUAGGAGGUGGAGGCAGGGAGGCAGCAGGCAGUGACUGAAGAGCCUGCCUUGGUGUACACACUAGGAGAAGGCUCAAAGUAGAGAUGGAGGUGGGCCUCCGACCCUCCACGGAGGUGGGCGUGGCUCAGCAGCAGACUGCUUGCCUGGCUUGCCUGAGGCCCACAGGUCCCAGCGAGCAGGCAGCCUGGAAAGGCUGGUGUUUCCCUGGAGUGUGGGUGCUGCAGCUGCCUAAACUUGGCCCCCAGGUGGCUGUGUUUGGAGAACUCCCCAUGCCAUGAUAUCACCCCCGGAAACAUCUUUGCACCUGAAUUUUUCCUCAAGUUGUUGGUGAGCAAUAGAGGUGUAGACACUAGCACUUACUGUGACUACCAGCUCAUCUUUAUACUGCACAUGC